rnacentral:rRNA from 1 species
GAUGAACGCUGGCGGUAUGCCUAACACAUGCAAGUCGUACGAGAGUUUUUAACUCUAGUGGCGGACGGGUGAGUAACACGUNAGAAUUUGCCUUUAGGAGGGGGGACAACAAAUUGGAAACGAAUGCUAAUACCCCAUAUGCUUUCGAGUGAAAUGGAUUUUAUCCGCCUAGAGAGAAGCUCGCGGCUGAUUAGCUUGUUGGUAAGGUAAGAGCUUACCAAGGCGACGAUCAGUAUCUGGUUUGAGAGGACGAUCAGACACACUGGAACUGAGACACGGUCCAGACUCCUACGGGAGGCAGCAGUGGGGAAUAUUGGACAAUGGGCGAAAGCCUGAUCCAGCAAUGCCGCGUGAGUGAAGAAGGCCUUCGGGUUGUAAAGCUCUUUUGUCAGGGAAGAAACGGUGAGGGCUAAUAUCUCUUGCUAAUGACGGUACCUGAAGAAUAAGCACCGGCUAACUACGUG